rnacentral:piRNA from 1 species
UCCUAGUGAGGGCUUCAAAGCAACGUAGA